rnacentral:tRNA from 1 species
CAGAUAAUAGUUUAACAUAAAACACCGGCUUUGGGUGCCAAAAAUCACUUUGCGUGUUAUCUGA